GUCGUUCUGCUUUAGGACGCCGGACACGUUGGAUAGUGGAGAGAUCUACACAGAGGGAACAAAAACAGAGCACUGAUAACAGAGUCCACAGUCAGGAUGCAGACAUGGAGGAGGAUCACCAGGGUGAAGAUCAUCUUGUCUCCAGGUGAGACGGUUGAAGCUGCACCAGGGUAGAAGAAGCUGGAGACACAACUACAGUCCUGGCCAUGCAGGCAGGCAGAAAGCAGCGUAUAAGAACCGGCCAGUGCAGCUCCAGAUAAACACAGAGGCUGGCCAUCACAACCCACACCAACCACACCCCCACUAUGGAGAACCAGCCUUCUGGAAGCUUCCACACGGGGCUCUGAAAACACCUGUCACCACGGCUGUGCUUCCAACAAGACAGGAACCUCUUCAGAAAUGGAUGCAAACUGGGACCCCCUCUCAUUGCAGUCAAAUAGAAAGUAUUCCCUUUACUUCUGCCUUAACCCCCCAUCCAACACCACACACACACACACCAUUUAAUUUGACUUUGAUUUUGAAGGUGAACUUACCAGGGUG